UGGCGGACGGGUGAGUAACGCGUGGGUAACCUGCCUUACACGAGGGGGAUAACACCUAGGAAACAGGUGCUAAUACCGCAUAAGCGCACAGGGCCGCAUGGCCCGGUGUGAAAAACUCCGGUGGUGUAAGAUGGACCCGCGUCUGAUUAGCUUGUUGGCGGGGUAGGGGCCCACCAAGGCGACGAUCAGUAGCCGGCCUGAGAGGGUGGACGGCCACAUUGGGACUGAGACACGGCCCAAACUCCUACGGAAGGCAGCAG
rnacentral:rRNA from 1 species